GCUGGGCUACUGUCUGUUACCAUAACUUUCACUGACGGCAAACACAUAUACUCACACACACUCAUGGAUCUCUCACCGACUUAGGCUUGCUGGCUCAUUGACUUACCAUUAAAACAAAGAGCCUUCAUUAGUUAGGAUGUCCCUCCUAAAAGGAUACCAACUGUGCAUAUUUGUCUGCGUGUGUGUGUAUGUGUGUGUGUGUGUAUCACAGGGUUGUUGUCUGAGACAUACGCAUCUAACCACUCAACCGGUCUCCGGCACAACAUGCACCCACAAAGGCGUAUUCAUUAGCAAGAGGGGUGCCAUUCCCCGGCACUUGGAAACUCAGUGGAGCGUUCAUGGCUGUGGCUGGAUGUAGAAAAUAAAAACAGAUUGGGGGAGAUUCAGACGAACGGAAUGGAAGAAUGCAAGCGGAACAUUAAAGAGCAUUCCAGAACAGAGUGUUAGCAAGAGACAAUCAGCUCCGGUCAGGGACAAACAGGAACGGAAAUGAAUUCAGGCAGAAAGAUCAGACAUUUUCCAGGCUAGAAAUUUUACAACAGGAAGGACGAAUAAUGACAGAAAUUAUGUUCAGUGGCUUGGACAUAAUAUAAUGUGGCUCUGAGGUGCAAAAUACAUCAACAUUGGAAAAAGCACAACAGCAAACUAGAAAAAACAACAAGUUGAAAACACAUCUCACAAAAUGGAAAAGAAACCUGUACCUCCUUUUCUACAACUCCCUCCUCACCUUCUUCUUCUCUGCCCCUCCUGCACUCUGCUUCUAUCCUCCUCUGAAUCCACCUGAGGACUGAAAGGUGGUGCAUUCAAGGUCCCGACUUCAGAUUUUCAGAGGGAGAGCACAGGGGGCAGGUGAGGCGAGAGGGGAAGUGGUGUGAGUGAGAGGUGAAAUUUGAAAUGCAGUUAAAGACGUUGGAGGAAUUGGAGGGAGAUGGAGGAGAGGAGACAGUAGGUGGAAAGGGUGCAAAAGUGAUAAUGUUCACAGGUUGUGCAAACAUAUGGAUGGGGGAUAGACACAAGAGUAAGAGAGAGCAAAAUCCAGAGGGGCGGACAGACAGACAGUAAGAGAUGUACAGCAGGUAAAAGAGAUAAUAAAGACAUGGAGGAAAGUGAGACAGCAAAAAUGAUGGAGGCAAGGAGAGGGAUGUUUAUCCUCCCCAUGAUCAUGUAGCCGUCUGUCUCUCAUUUAGCCCAAGGUUCUGAUUAAGUCGUUUGUGUUUAAAGAGGAGGAAGCCUCUAAUUCCCCUCCUUUCAUCUAAUUUAAUUAUGUGCUGACAUUCUCCCUUUCUUCCUUAGAAGGAUAAAAGCAGCUUAAGCUUUUAUGUGGAGCUUUAAUGACAGCGGCGAGGAAACUUUACUCGCUGAUUGCUUAGCCUUAAGUGUGUUUAGCCUUAACACAGCGCUGCACCAAACACAGUUGUAUAUGCGCUCUCUCAGACACACAUACUGUAUUUCACAUCGUGUUUGUCGCAAACAGGCACACAGCGACUUGGAUACACGCC